CCGAUGUAUAUUUACGCCAAAUGAUUCCAUCAUAGUUUCUUCCCCAAACGCUGCGUUUCUGUUGAUCUUUGAGUUCAAGGGUUUCCGUUUGAACAGCCGCGGAGAUAUUGCAAAUUUGAAUUACAGAUCAGACUGUAAUUUUCGUUGGUUUGACGAUCUUUACUAUUUGGGAAUGUUUUCUUGUAUAGAAAUAGAUUUAGAAAAAAACAGAAGAGAAAAGUAAUAACAAAAUGAAUAAAAGGGUGAAUUUAUUAUGAUCUUUAAGGUGAAUUUGUUAUGCUUGUUAGAGCUAAUAAUAAAAGUGUGGAAUAUGGGGGGAAAUAAGGGACAUGGUAGGGAUAGUUUGGGAAGGAAAAAGCCUACAAAUAACAUUUGGUGACGUCUGCAUGUACUUGUAGUAUUAGGGCAUUGUGUAUGCACUUGCAUUGGAAAAAUUGGGAAAAAGUUAUGCACGCUAUCUUGCUAAGAUUAUGGAUGCAAAAAACCUAGCCAAGAUGAUUUUUUUUUUUUUUGUUUGAUGAAUAAAGAGCAAUAUAUUAAAAGAAAAGAGGCAUAUCAAGGAAGUACUCCAAAGUAUACAAGUAGUACACAAAAGAGAGUGAAAAGAAACCCUUAACAAGAGUCUAACUAAUCUACAAAAUCUACAACGAAAGAAAGACCAAAACCAAAAAACCCCUUAGUUCCACGCCCAUAGAUUACCAAGGAAAAACGAUUUGCACCUAUGAAUCAAAUGCUCCUUGUUUUCAAACGCCCUAUUAUUUCUUUCCUUCAAGACAAUAAAAAAAAUGUACAAGGGAGGUGAAAACUACAAUUUCUUCCUUUUCUUUCCCACACAAGGCCCAACCCAACCUAAUAAUGUCUCUCUAACUGAAGAAAGGAGCACCCACGAAACCUCAAAGAGGGAAAAAAGUAGGCUUCAUAAACUUCUAGCCAGCACACAAUGCAAGAGAAUGUGAUCAAUAGACUCUUUCUCUGACAAACACAAAUAACAUUUGUUAGCCAAGGAGAACCCUCUCCUCUGAAUACACUCCAAGGUUAAGGCCUUUUUUUACAUAGCCUCCUAAGCAAAAAAACACACCCUUGGAGGCACAAAAGAAUACCAAAUAACUCUUGCAGGAAAAUCCCCUUGUCUUUUCGGUUCCAAUGCCUUGUAAAGAGACUUAACAACAAAUCUUCUGUCCUUUGCCUUUGUCCAAACUACUUGAUCUUCCACAUCACUAUAAACCCUCCUCUCUUGCAACCUUAAGAGAAAACACUCCACAUCGAACACUUCCCAAUCAUUAAGCUGCCUAGAGAACCUAGGAGCCCACACUCCCCCUCCAGCAUGGCUCCACACAUCCUCCACCCAAGCCUCCUUAGCCAAGGAUAUAGCAAAUAAAGAAAGAAAAAAAGUACACAAAGUAUCAUCUCCACACCACUUGUCUUUCCAAAAUCUAACCCUCCUACCAUUCCCCAUAGAAUAAACCAAGUUGUCGCCUAUCACAUCCCAACCUCUUCUAAUCACUUUCCAUAAACCAACCCUAAAACUACCUCUCACAACGUGGGACCUCCAACCGCCCUCUUCUUCCCCAUACUUUGCACAAAUAACUUGUCUCCACAAAGCUUCUCUUUCCACCACAAAACGCCAACUCCACUUACAUAGGAGGGUCUUAUUCAACAACGCCAUAUUCCUCACACCCAAAUCCACCCUUUUGUUUAUCUAAGCAAACAAUAGACCAAUCCACUAAAUAAGGCUUCCUCUCCAGGGCCCUACCACCCCAAAGAAAGUCCUUUUGGAUCAGCUCCAAUCUCAAACUCACACUCCUUGGCAUAUGAAACAGGGACAUACAGUAGAUAGGCAUACUGGACAGAGUGCUCUUGAUCAAAGUCAGUCUGCCCCCCUUGGAGAUAUACUUCCUUAGACUUUCCUCAACCUCAUCCCAAACUGCCACUUCCUUGAAAGGAGCACCCAAAGGAAGACCCAAAUAAAAAGAUGGGAGCUUGCUAACCUUGCAACCAAACUCAAUGGCUAACUCCUCUACAUUCUCCACUCUUCCCACCGCGAUGAUCUCACUUUUGUCCAAAUUCACCUUCAACCCUGACAUGGCUUCAAACCACGUAAGGAGCCAACUCAAGUAGGACACCUGAUCAAUGGAAGGCCCAUAGAAUACUGAAGUGUCAUUCGCGAACAAUAAAUGAGUGAUCUCCAAUCCCGUACCUUCUUUACCAUUGAGUUGCCACCCCGGCUAAAACCCUCCUUCUUUUGCUCUCUUCAACAAACAAUUAAGAGACUCCAUGACAAUCACGAACAAGUAGGGGGAUAAAGGAUCCCCCUGUCUCAAUCCCCGAGAACUUUGGAAGAAACCUAAGGGAAUUCCAUUAAUAAGGAUGGAGAAAUUGACAGUACCAAUACACCACCGAAUCCAGCUAAUCCAUUUAUCUCCAAAACCCAUCAUUUCCAACAACCAA